UCCGAGGGUGCAAACUGCCACGGGACAGCGAACUUUGGUCGGUGGCAACAUAUUCCAAUAUGUAUAAAAGAUCCCCAAAAUGACUUACAAGCUCAUUUUCUUCAUCUUAUGAACCCUAAUCACCCUUCAGCUCUCUCAAACUAAUUCCCUAUCAAGCUUAAGCAAAACAAAGGGGUAAUCAAUUGAUUUGAACGUACGGGAUCACGUGAUCAUCAUAGAAUCGAGAGUUUUUCGUUAUUUUGCUUUCCGGAGGGAAACUUCAUGUUGAAGUAACUUAUGUUGCAGGGUGUUCUUCAUCAUAUAAGGUAAUCACUCGAACAGUAUUCAAGGACUCUUGGAACAUGGAAAACGUCAUCAUUAACGUGCAGAUAGACAGGUUGGUGCACUUUCCAGUAGGAUGCUGAAGUUCAGCAAUUGGCUAUUGCACUCUAUUCUCCGAAUUUGUGUCAAAGUCAGUGUAUAGAGAUGCAUGCAUAUAUAUGUAUAUAGCUAUGGUUAUGGCGAGGUUCUUUCCCUUCCAGUUGUUACAUAAUAGUACUUUUAGAAGCUUACAGACUAUCAGUCAGUGUACAAGUGUUGUGUUUGGCCUUGUUGGCCCUAGUUAAGUAUAUAUAUGUGUUGGGCCUUUCUGCUUGCAGGUUGAUAUGUGUCAUUGUUACUAUUGCCAUUCAGAGGCCUUGUCAGCCUAUGAUUCAGGUUACAGGGUACAGAUAUCACAGUUGGUUCGCUCGGGCCUUUGAGCGCCGGGUGCCGGCCAUACCCCCCAAUUUAGAAUUCCUUUGAUCAUUUGUUGGACCCUCUCGCCACUGUUGAGAGUUGGACGAUUCGCCUUUUGGAGAGACAUAAGGAUUGGAACUCUGACUUCUAUAGUUUUUGUU